GGGGCUGCAGGCACAGCAUGAGCUGGGGGGGGGGGGGGCAUCCGUGGGGCUGGAAGUCCGUGGGGCUGCAGUCCAGCAGUGCCCGGGGAGCAGCUGUAUGUCCUCUGCCCCCCUGAAGACACCAAGUGGGGAAACGGAGCUGCAGAGGGCAAAGGGUGGGGGGGGGGGGCUGGGGUGGAUGCAGCGGUUACGGGGAUAGGGGGGUGGGGGGGCAUGGAAUCGUUUCAGCCAGGAGGGGUGAGGGAGCAGCACCCCAGCAGAGCUGUGAGCAGAGCCCGGCUGUGGGGUGCGCCCCCCCCGGGCCUCGGCCCCGUCCCCCUCCUCAGCACAAAGCAUCGCUCUUCCAACGUCCUUUAUAUUUCCUCCACUCCGUGUGCAAAGAUCAUCACCAGCCCCGGCUCCAGCACCAUGUCCUCACCCAUGUGCUGGUUCUCACAGGCCAUCACCACCACGGCCUGCUUGCCGGGGAUGCGUUUGGCCACGUAGUUCUCGUAGUAACGCCGGUUCAUCUGACGCGUCUCCAGCGUGGCCAGGCCCUGAGGCCAGUUCCGCUCGUGGGCGUUCUCAAUCAGCUCGUUGAUGAUGGACGUGGGGCAGCCACUCUCCACCAGGGAACGUUUGAUGACGGCCUGCAGCACGGCGUCCGGCGUGGAGAUCAUCCCCCCCCACCGCGUCACACGGGCGGGCUGCAGGGAGUUCACCCACUCCAGGAUCUCGUUGUACUCGAUGGUCUCCUCCAGGUUCUGCAGGUUGGGGUUGACGCUGCGGAUAGCGCGCAUGUAGGCCUUCAGCAGCUGGAUGUCACGUUUCUGCUCUGCCAGCUGAUGCUUGUGUUCUGCUGAGGUCUUCUCCAGCUCAGCAAUUCUGGUCUGCUGCUGCUGCACCACCGAUCUUAAAUGCUUGAUGCAGUUGUGGUUUGGCAGCUCAUCUUUGGGCAUUUCCAAGCCGCAUCCCUGCUCGCAGGUCACGGGGCGCUUGGGGUUGUGCUCGCAGUCGUUGAGGUGAGACAUCAGGUUGUCGAGUCGCACUACAGCCGUGCAGCCAAAGACAGCAUUGUCACAGGUGAUCUGCAGCUUGGAGAGCAUAUUGCGCAUAAUGCGCGGCACGGGGCGGAGGUGGGCGACCGUCACCACGCUGCGGUCCACGGGGCAGGUCUGCUGCUGGGAGAACCACUGGGUGAUGCAGGCAUUGCAGAAGGCGUGCUCACAGUGAGGAGCCUGAACUGGCUCCUCCAGGACCCCGCUGCAGAUGGGGCAUAUAAGAUCUUCAUCAACAUCCCCCUGAAAGCGUGCUACAUCAUACCCCAUUGCUCAUCACCGAUGCCAGAACCCUUCCGUGGCAGAAUUCCUCCCUGAGCGGCACAGAGGCAGUGCUGGCGUUGGCUCACUCUUUCCAGGGAGGCUCUCCCAGUGGCCCAUCUUUCCCCCUUCCUCCUCUCACAGCCCAAACAUCGCUCUUCGAGGGCCAACGGGGAGCUGGGAGGCCCGAUGGAUCUCCUGCCCCCGCCCGGCCCCGGCGCGCUGCUACGCGACCCCCGCCCCGCCGGAAGCUGCCGCCCCGCUGCGGACCGG
rnacentral:lncRNA from 1 species